rnacentral:rRNA from 1 species
UACAGAGGGUGCAAGCGUUGUUCGGAAUUAUUGGGCGUAAAGGGCGCGUAGGCGGUGCGGUAAGUCUGUAGUGAAAUCUCUGGGCUCAACUCAGAGUCUGCUGCAGAAACUGCCGUGCUUGAGUGUGGGAGAGGUGAGUGGAAUUCCCGGUGUAGCGGUGAAAUUCGUAGAUAUUGGGAAGAACACCGAUGGCGAAGGCAGCCAUCUGGACCGACACUGACGCUGAGGCGCGAAAGCGUGGGGAGCAAACAGG